UCUUUUUUAAUUUAACAUUUAUCUUCUAUUAUGUACAAGAAUUCUCUUUAUUCUUUUUCUGUUAUACUUUGUAAUUUAGAUAUACUUUACAUUAACUUCUGUUUCAUAAUAUAUUUUUUUCAAAUUUUCAAUUUUUACUUUAAAUGUUUAAUUUUACAAAUGGAUAAUUUUUAUAAUAAAUUAAAUUAAAUAAUUUAUUUUUAUUAUAUUUUCAAUUGACAUAUGUUUGUAAGAUUAUGAUGUAUUUAUAAUUAAAUAAUGAAUAUUUAUAAUAUAUAUAUUCGAUUUUCGCGCGUAAAAUUAAAAUGAAUAAAAAUAAAUUGAAGUAAACCACAUCGCUUCAACUAAUCAAAAAGGCCCAGUAACGAAACGAGUCAGUGCGCAUCAUAGUGCGCAUCAUAAUGCGCAUGGCAGUAGUUCAUAGUUGAAAAUCGUGGUAACGGCUGGUCACGUUUUGUUCUGAAGUGCGAAAUACUUAAAAUUCUUACCGAUAGGAUAUGAUAUUAUAAUUAUUAUUUAUAUUUAACAAUAAGUUUUAAUAAGUUUUGUAUAAUAUGCAUUUGUUUAAUCAUUAUUAUAGCAGAAUUGAAGAUUUUUGAUGAAGAUGACGAAGGAUAAAGAUCAAUUAUCAUUUCAUUGGAACUUCGAAGACAAGAUGGCUUGAAAAAUUUCUCAUCGAGUAAAUCCCAUGAACCAUAAUGUCAUUGAUGGCAGAUUCUACGCAUCUAAUGAUGAUAUAAAAGGAAAAGAAUGAGGAAUAGAAAGAGGAUGUUAGAGCACGGAUGAGUCGAAGAAGAGUCUGACCACAUAUAGAAGAAAAGAUAUUGGCUAUAUGCGUGAAUACAGUGUGUCUUGUUUGAGACAAGGCAAACAAUCAACGAUGACAAACAAUCAUAAAGGGAAUAAGAAUUCAAUUUUCUUCAGACUUCAGCCAGAAUUGAAGAUUUUUGAUGAAGAUGACGAAGGAUAAAGAUCAAUUAUCAUUUCAUUGGAACUUCGAAGACAAGAUGGCUUGAAAA